GCUUGUUUAUCCGUCUUAUUGACUACAAUGCAAUGCUUUUGUUUUACCAGGGAAGCCCGGGCACUGCAUACGCAAGCCCAUCCCAUGAACUUUAAGGAUUUGGGCACAGAUGGUGGAUGGGAAUCCAGCCCAGGCCUUCACAAGCUGCUGUCCCUGCAGGAGCCAGUGCUGUGCCGCUGCAGAGGGCGUUUGCAGAAGCUUGUAGAUGGAUGACAGCAUCCCACUGACACCCCGAGGCACAAGAAGACUUGCUGAAAGUCAACCUGAG
rnacentral:lncRNA from 14 species